ACUCGCCGUCGGGCCCGGCCAAUUUGCUCGGCGCCUGUCUUCAGGCCAGAAUACAUGGAGCGAAUAUGCGACGAAUAGUCGGCGUUCGACGCCCGGCGGCGUACGCGCGACGCGCGGCGGCGGAGAAAACGUCGUUCGCCGCCGAUCCAGCUGGCGCAGAAAAGUUCGUCGGGCGGCGACGAUACCGGAAGCGGCAAACGAGCGGCGCCCCAAAGCGAGCCAAUCAGGUCUAAGUAUCCGCCCCGACUUCCGUCUAGGCUUCCCCGCUUGUCCGUGCAUGCCGAUCCCGCUCUAUCGUUCACGCCGGUAUCCCGCAUUUCGUAUUCAUGGCAUCCAAAGCGGCGCGGCUGGAAUUUAACGACAAGUUCAUUUCGGCUGUUCAGAAGCGUGCCAUCCUGUGGGACUGCAGUCGCUAUGACUACAAAGAUCAAAGAAAGAAGGCUCAGGCGUGGGAAGAAGUUGCCGCUGAAAUAGGAUGCGACCUGCAAGAAAAAAAUCUACAGGCUAGGUGGAAGAGCCUGCGGGAUACAUUCACGAAAAAGUACCGGGGGCACAAACACGGCGCCCCGAGUGGCUAAGGUGGAAGUGACGCGAAGGAAAUCAAUGAUGCAAGCGUGAGCUGGCCUUAUUUCACCUUGCUGAAGUUCUUAAAAGAUCAGUCGGAAGUUGCCAGGAGCGCAGGAAGAACAGGAGGACGAGAUUUGCAGUGCCCCUACAAGCUACGUAGAAGAAAGUAGUGUUGAGGCAAGGACGUCGAAUAGUGACGACACAGCAGCAUUACACUCCAGCUUCAUAAAACAUGUAUCAGAAACUCCGAGGAGGAGGCGAGCCCAGAAGGCAAACAGGGGUACGUGGGAACAAGAACUGGACAGAGUUGACGCCCAAGUAGUCGCUCACAGCGACAAAGGAGCCUUGUACGGACAGCUGUUGGCAGAAAAGUUUCGCUCUUGUCCUAAAAGGCUAAAGUCACAAAUAGAACUUGAACUCUUAGAUUUUUUAAAGAAAUACACGUUCGAAGAACCUCAAUAAAAACCUCGUGCAUA